rnacentral:rRNA from 1 species
AUUGAACGCUGGCGGCAUGCCUUACACAUGCAAGUCGAGCGGCAGCGCGGGGGCAACCCUGGCGGCGAGCGGCGGACGGGUGAGUAAUGCAUCGGAACGUGUCCUCUUGUGGGGGAUAACCAGUCGAAAGACUGGCUAAUACCGCAUGAGCUCGUAAGAGGAAAGCAGGGGACCCGCAAGGGCCUUGCGCGAGAGGAGCGGCCGAUGCCCGAUUAGCAGUUGGCGGGGUAAAAGCCCACCAAGGCGACGAUCGGUAGCUGGUCUGAGAGGACGACCAGCCACACUGGGACUGAGACACGGCCCAGACUCCUACGGGAGGCAGCAGUGGGGAAUUUUGCGCAAUGGGGGAAACCUGACGCAGCAACGCCGCGUGGAAGA